UGGGUGAGGGGCCUCUGGGUCACCUCCCACCCGUGUCUAUCGUACCUUGUUGCUUCGGCGGGCCCGCCGUUUCGACGGCCGCCGGGGAGGCCUUGCGCCCCCGGGCCCGCGCCCGCCGAAGACCCCAACAUGAACGCUGUUCUGAAAGUAUGCAGUCUGAGUUGAUUAUCGUAAUCAGUUAAAACUUUCAACAACGGAUCUCUUGGUUCCGGCAUCGAUGAAGAACGCAGCGAAAUGCGAUAAGUAAUGUGAAUUGCAGAAUUCAGUGAAUCAUCGAGUCUUUGAACGCACAUUGCGCCCCCUGGUAUUCCGGGGGGCAUGCCUGUCCGAGCGUCAUUGCUGCCCUCAAGCACGGCUUGUGUGUUGGGCCCCCGUCCCCCUCUCCCGGGGGACGGGCCCGAAAGGCAGCGGCGGCACCGCGUCCGGUCCUCGAGCGUAUGGGGCUUUGUCACCUGCUCUGUACGCCCGGCCGGCGCCAGCCGACACCCAACUUUAUUUUUCUAAGGUUGACCUCGGAUCAGGUACGGAUACCCGCUGAACUUAAUCAUAUCAAUAAGCGGAGGAA
rnacentral:rRNA from 1 species